GAUGAACGCUAGCGGCAGGCUUAAUACAUGCAAGUCGAGGGGCAGCAUGAUUGUAGCAAUACAAUUGAUGGCGACCGGCAAACGGGUGCGGAACACGUACACAACCUUCCAACAAGUGGGGGAUAGCCCAGAGAAAUUUGGAUUAAUACCCCGUAACAUAGCGAUGUGGCAUCACAUUGCUAUUAUAGAUUUUUCGCUUGUUGAUGGGUGUGCGGCUGAUUAGAUAGUUGGCGGGGUAACGGCCCACCAAGUCUACGAUCAGUAGCUGAUGUGAGAGCAUGAUCAGCCACACGGGCACUGAGACACGGGCCCGACUCCUACGGGAGGCAGCAGUAAGGAAUAUUGGACAAUGGACGCAAGUCUGAUCCAGCCAUGCCGCGUGAAGGAUUAAGGUCCUCUGGAUUGUAAACUUCUUUUAUAAGGGACGAAAAAAGGCUUUUCUAAGUCGUCUGACGGUACCUUAUGAAUAAGCACCGGCUAGCUCCGUGCCAGCCGCCGCCGUAACAC
rnacentral:rRNA from 1 species